ensembl:lncRNA
UUUUUCUUCCCUCUCCUCCCCCUCCUUACCACACACGACUGAAGUAGCAAUGUGGACUUGAAAUUGAACCACUGGAGAGUUUGACUUACGACAGUGGUGAUCUACACAACAGAAACCAUUGCCAGCAUCAGCUGUAUCAGCUUUUAGCAUAUAAAUGCUGCCAGGCUGCAGUUCCAGGAAGGUGGGGUCUUCCUGCAGUCCAAGCAAUGCACUGAUGAGCACAGCAGAAGUGGAGCUGGUCUGGCUGAAGAUAAAGUACUCUCUGUUGACAUGGAUUUAUUUCUCUAUGUUAAGAUUGUGUUCAAUCGUACGUACACGUAGUAUGUCCUGUUUAAUGGGUAUAUUCAUCAGGCUUCUGGUGGGUUGUCUUCAGACAUCUAACUUGACAGAUUGGGCACUUUUUCCAAGAAACCAACAUUUUUCUAUGAGUCAUUGUGAGUGUGUAGUGUCCCUAACAUCAGACCGAUGCACAGACCUGUACAGAUGAGGCCCUUGCUGUGAACUAAAUGCAAGGAUCUGUAAAAAAAACUGGAUUAGCAUUGUAAAUCAGGACCUGUGCCAGGCUGUAGUGACAGAGCAGCGUGUAUUUCUGAGUACAGCAUUGCAAGGGGUGGAACUAGAGGGGGGGACAAAUGCAGCCUUCCUCUGUGCAGCUAUGCAGUGAUGCCCACUGUCAGUGCUGGCCAGUCUGCUCAGAGCUGGUCCAGUGGCUGUUGAAGUACAGCCGGGACAGCUGGAAACUGGACUAUGAGUUGCACAAGGUGAUGGAAUAGGCAAACAGAGCUCCUGUUAGGCAUGGUUGUAUUUUGUGCUGCUUUGGAAAGCUGAAGCUGAUUGUGGGCUCUCAUCCUGGAAGGAAGGGCUGCUGAUACGGGAGCUGUUCUGGGGUGCAGAGGGAUGGAUAAGGAAGAGAAAUGCAGCAGCACUCAGAAACUGCUGAUUACAUCUGAGGUAGAGCUUCGCUUCCCAGUCCUCCAAAAGAAUGGCUUCUGUCCUCAGGUGAGUGCGCUCACGGGGGUGGCACUGAUGGUUGAUGGCAUUUGUAUAAUGCUCCGUAUGUAGUUUUAUUACACCAUGCUCGGAAUCUGUUGGUUUCCUAACCCACAGCCAUUUUCCUAUUAUGUGGUCCUCAACGUGAACCAGGCUUUUGUUUUUCCCCCCAUAAAUUGGUGUUUUCAUUUAGAUCUUCAAGCUGCUGCUUAAUGCUUUUGCUUACCAAAUAUAGAAACUUUUACUGCAAACUCUAACUUGCUUUCUGUGUCCCUCUAAUCUCCUGUACCUCUUUUCUCAUUUCCUUCAGUUUACCCAUAUGGUUUCCCAAACUGUACAAUGCCUUCCAACAGCGCUCUCCCAAAUUCCAUAUGCUUAAAUAAAUCUUCAUGACUCCUACCCCAUCUUCCUGGUUUACAUCCAAGGACUGGCACAUAGAUAUAUAUAUAUAUAUAUAUAUAUACACUUCUGAGCUGUUUUCUAAUAUGCCAUCUCUGAGUGUAGUUCUGGCCCAUGUAAUGCAUCAUCUGAAAGAAGAAGGUUUGUGAUUUAUCUGAAUAGGCACAGCCUACCAUGUGCUAUGAUUGCUGGGAAUCGCUUUUUCCAUGUUUACCAUUCGUGCAGCCAUGGUCUUAGCCCCAGAUUUCACCCGCAGCUCUUCAUCUUGCAGCCCUGCAGCUGAUAAAAGGGACUUCUUGGGCUUUGCUUGUCUGAUUUUGUCACCAUGUAGUUGUGGAUGAGGCAGUUCUGGAGUAUCCAUUUUUCUCCGUUGGCCAGAAAGGGAGUUUCUUUCUUGCCCAGAUGAACGUGUCUGCAACUGACCCCUUGAAAUGCUUCAGGGACAAUAAUUAUAUGGCUACAAAGCAAAGAAGGAAUCCGGCUGACAGAAAGGGAGGGGCUGGUUGAGGUGGGAAUGAGAGCAUACAUGAAAUGAUUUGUCUCUUUGUAAAUUGUAUGAGAACAACCCAAACAGGCCACUGCAGCUGAAGAAAGUGAAUUUCAAUGAUCUGAUAUCUUCCAGGCAAAAUCCCAUGGGAAGCGAUUCCGAGGAGAGGGGCUUAAAUAACAGACAACAGGAGCACAAGCGCUGGCCAUCCCAGAGCAAAGCGUGGGCUGGGAGUGCCAAAGGAGCCAAAGAGAAGUUCUUCAUCGGCUUCAGAUACAAGACAGAGCAUACAGAGAGUGACAACUGCUGCGGUACUCGGGGCUGCUGUGAAGGAGUCGUAUGGAAAGGGAAGGACCGCUUCACAGAAGGAGGGUGUAAUGAGGAAUAUCGAAGGUAGAAGGAACUGUAAGUAGUACGAGAUGGAUUGAGAAUUGGACCACUGCUUGGCAGAAAGGGGAAGGUACGGACAGGCAGGUCCCUGAGAAGUUGUGCACCCAUCCACAGCUGCUUUGAUUAUGAGCUCCCCACUGAGCUUCCUACUUUCUCUGUGCUGGUUUUUAUCAGGCCAGUUGGUUUCUUUCUUCUAAACACCCUGUUUGGCCUCUUUGAGCAUCAGUGCAUUUUUAUUCUCCAUAAAUCUGAUGAAGUUUCUGUUUAUCCCAAGGAUUGCUAUUGUUCUUUAAAUAAUAGCAAUGCAAGUAGGUUGGAGGUCUCCUCGGGCAGAGCCGUAGGACUGAUGGGUGCAGGCUGGCUGUGCCUGCUGGGCUCGAGUCUGGAUUGCUAAUGGUGGCUGUUCAGUAUCCACCUUAGUUCCCAAUGGGUUGGAAAGUGCUUCGUGAUGUGGCACACAUACACCAUUCCCCUAACGACGGAACCGAAGUAUUUCAUCAACACUUGCAUGUUUUGACUCUGCAGUUUGCAGGUGCAAAGUUUCUCACUGAAUGGGAGAGUAUUUGUGGCAGGAACCAAGACUGGAAGGGCUGAGGUAGGCGGAUGGCUGAGCGCAGAGCCGAAAGGUGGUGAUGCUCACACAGCCCCGCGUGAAGGCGGGAUGCAAUUAGUGCAGAACGUCUGCUUCAAUAAAUCACCGCAAAAAGCGCUGCGCUCAGGGAAGACUGCUGUGGGACUGAUGGGGGCAGGAGAUGCCCCGGUCAGUGGUGUCCAUGUGAGUUGCAAGAAGGAAGGAAAGAACGGAGAACAGAGAUCGGAGACCAUCAACAGACGUUUCAGAUACUGACACCAACAGCACUUCUGAGAGCUGCGUGGCCUGAGGAGCAGUGUAAGAAGAUGGCUGGAAAUACGGCCUGCCUCCUGCUCCCACCUGAGGGUGGGCUGAGGAGGACACAAUGGGCUCUGUGGUUCCGAGAUGAGAGAGAAGAGUAGCAAAGGGGAUUAAUCAGGCCGAAGAAUCUGGCUGCAAGGCAUCCUGACGGUGACUGGAGCAGCCUGUGCUGCUGAACUGGUUCUUCUUCGCUCAUCACAGCUUCAGGGGAGGUCUUGCAGGAAUCUAAGAACACUUCAGGAAAGAGCUGAACUCUGGGCUGGCUGCACAGAGCCCAGGGAGCUGAGACGACGGCAGGAAACCUACAGACCACAGCAGUGUUUGUAGUGCUCAGCCUCUGGACACAUCCUGGGGCUUCCUUAUGCCUCAAGGCUAGCUAACCACUUGAAUGAGGAGGGAGCUUUUCCUGCUUGCUCUUUAUUCUUUGGAUCCUCCCUGGACUCAGCCUGUGCUGGCAGCACUGUGGUGCCGCAGCAGCUUCAGGAACGCCUCUGACAGCCCCAGAGCUGCGAGGGAGCAGCUACUCUGCAUGCAAGGAGGAGCACUGCGUCUCCUGAGCCCUCACUUUAAGUCAUGCAAACGGUGUUUGGAUGUUUCUGAGCCUUGAAGUGCCUCCUGUCUCCCACCUCACAUCCUUCCUGACAGCUCCCUGCUCCUGUGCUGGAGGAUGUGUGCUGACAGAGGAAAAGUACUGUUGUCUUCCUGAGACCCUCCAAUAGGGAGAGCGGGUGUUGGGGAAUAGAUUUGCAGGGCAGAGGGCAGGGAACAGCUCCUGAAUGUGCCCCCACACCAUUCCAAAGAAGCCAGUACUGAGGGAUAGGGAAUUAGUUGGUUCCUUUUCACUCAUAGCCCUCACUGAGCAAUACCUGCAUGGGAUAUUACCACCCCACCAGCUCACUGCAUCCUGGGGCACCUCCAUCUCCUGUGGGAGUGGGCUGGGCACGCUGGGCAUGAGCUGCUGCCACAAGAGUCUGCUCUGUGCCAGCAGCAAGCGGCCACCAUCUGCAGCAGGGAGGGAGGCACAGAGAGGGGAAGCGAGCUGCCAUUUCCCAUUGCCAUCGUGGUCAUGCAUUUAGUACUGCCAUAUGAGAUACCCUUUCCACUGGGAACUGUCGCCCUGGGGUGUGAGCUGUACAGUGCCUGCAUGGAACCAGGGUGAGGUGUGCUAUGUCCCAGCCAAACCUGAGGCAGCAGCCCCAUGCUGUCUCACUCACACUCAUCAGUUGAUCCCUCAACCCCAGCAGCCUGCCUUUGGUGCUUCCCUUCUGUGUAGGAACUGCUGAGUCACGGCCUGAACCACUGAUGGAUCACCUGGGGAAAGGACCCGGUCAGCCCUGGGAGCACAGGUGAAGGCAAUUCAUGUGUGUGACCAGAAGGGGUGGAGCCUGACUGCACCUCUCUUAGACCUCAUUUCAGGGCUGACUGCCACUGGGGAAGGAUGGUGUUCUGGAGAUCCCUCCUUGGUGAAGCUUUGCCCUGUGAACCUGGAAUCUUCUGAGUACGGGUGAGCAAUCUUCUUUCCUUCCCUUAUAGCACCUUUCUAUCAUGUCAGUCCUUCCAUCAUCACACCUCUGUUGUGAUGCUUUUCCCAUCUUAUUGAUCUGUCCAAUUACUGCACUAGCAGUGACAUUCAAAGCAGAAUUAAGGUCCUUUCUUCCGGCUCCUCAGCCAGAGAGCUGAAGUCCUUGUGGGACUCUGGAGUCUCCUCGAGGAGAUUCACUUUCCAUUGUGAGUUUGUUGGACUCAGGAGUCUGGAUCCAGGCUGGAGUUCUCCAUACCCAGCACUGUGUCCCCUCUGUCCCAAGGCUGCAGGACCCCAUGAGCCCAUGAGAGUGGGGCAGGGGUUGGGGUGCUGCCAGAGCUGCCUCCUGUGGCUGUGCCACCGGGCUACCUCAUGGAGGGAAAGAGCCCUAGGAGUUGCAGCUGAGCUGAGGUGCUGUGCCUCCUGCCAAGGAUGGAUGGUGAUGCUCUGAUGCAGAGUGACUCAAUGCAGGCAGAAUGGAGGCAAGGUGCAUCUAGGUUGGGGUCUAGGCCUCUAGCUGCACUACCUGUUAGAAGAAAUCAGCAGCAGGACAUGGGAUAAGAUUGGCACAGUUGUUAUUCCAGAGCAGAGCAAGGGUUUCAGUGACACCGAUGCUUCUGUGGUGCUUGCAUCCUUCAGCAACUCCCGUCCAUGAGGCUGCUCUGCUUUCCUGGGUUCUGCCAUGCCCCUUCAGCCCUUGCUUGCUUAUACUCCUCUAAGUUUCCUUCACGUUCCCUUGGGCUAAAUUAAAUGCACCACUUACCUUUAUCUGAGUGAUAAAGAGAAGUUCACCACAUCACAGAAACAUUUGAGUUGAAGGAGAUUCUAAAAGGCCACCUAGCCCAACUCUCUGCUCUGAACAGGGAUACCUACAGCUGAUCAGGCUGCUCAGAGCCCCGUCCUGGCCUCACCUUGACUGUCUCCGGGGAUGGGGCACCAAUCACAUCUCUGGGCCACCUGUUCCAUAUCCUUCACUACCCUUACCGUAAAAAACUUCUUCCUUAUACCCAAUCUAAA